rnacentral:snRNA from 1 species
UUACAUACCUGGGACGUGGUCAAUGGGUGAUCAAUAAGGCUCAUGGCCUAGAUCAAUAGCUCACAUCGCACAUGGUGGGUGCGUUGAUCUACCAUCUCCCAAUGAUGGGAUAAUCUACCAUCUCCCAAUGAUGGGAUAGUAGACGUCAUAAUUUAUGACAGGCAAGCGCUAUGCGUCGGCGCACCGGCUCA